rnacentral:rRNA from 1 species
UACGUAGGUGGCAAGCGUUGUCCGGAUUUACUGGGCGUAAAGAGCUCGUAGGCGGUUUGUCGCGUCUGCCGUGAAAGUCCGGGGCUCAACUCCGGAUCUGCGGUGGGUACGGGCAGACUAGAGUGAUGUAGGGGAGACUGGAAUUCCUGGUGUAGCGGUGAAAUGCGCAGAUAUCAGGAGGAACACCGAUGGCGAAGGCAGGUCUCCUGGGCAUUAACUGACGCUGAGGAGCGAAAGCAUGGGGAGCGAACAG